rnacentral:rRNA from 1 species
CGUGUAGGCGGCUUGAUAAGUCAGAUGUGAAAGCCCUGGGCUCAACCUGGGAAGUGCAUUUGAAACUGUCAUGCUUGAGUAGGGGAGAGGGAAGUGGAAUUCCUGGUGUAGAGGUGAAAUUCGUAGAUAUCAGGAGGAACACCGGUGGCGAAGGCGACUUCCUGGCCCUAUACUGACGCUGAGACGCGAGAGCGUGGGUAGCAAACAG